AUUGAACGCUGGCGGCAUGCCUUACACAUGCAAGUCGAACGGUAACAGGUCUUCGGAUGCUGACGAGUGGCGAACGGGUGAGUAAUACAUCGGAACGUGCCUAGUAGUGGGGGAUAACUACUCGAAAGAGUGGCUAAUACCGCAUGAGAUCUACGGAUGAAAGCAGGGGAUCGCAAGACCUUGUGCUACUAGAGCGGCCGAUGGCAGAUUAGGUAGUUGGUGGGAUAACAGCGUAGCAAGCCGACGAUCUGUAGCUGGCCUGAGAGGACGAUCAGCCACACUGGGACUGAGACACGGCCCAGACUCCUACGGGAGGCAGCAGUGGGGAAUUUUGGACAAUGGGCGCAAGCCUGAUCCAGCAAUGCCGCGUGCAGGAUGAAGGCCUUCGGGUUGUAAACUGCUUUUGUACGGAACGAAAAGCCCCGGGUUAAUACCCUGGGGUCAUGACGGUACCGUAAGAAUAAGCACCGGCUAACUACGUGCCAGCCGCCACCGUAA
rnacentral:rRNA from 1 species